CCUGUCUUAGUGGUAUGUUUGUCUUCUCCCCCCAGAUUCACAGCUUCCAAAGUGCAGGAGCAAGACUUGCUCUUUUCUUUAUCUUCAAAUAAGUGCUUGUUGGGACUUGUUGGUGGAAAGUCACGGUCCUAAGUGUGGGGAGAAGCUGUCAGUGCUGAAGGGAGAAGAGCUUUGCUUCCAAGGCAGGACCAGAUCAGGAUUAAGCUGUAAACAAACGAGGGCUUCAGCCGGCUCUGAUCUGCAGACCAAGAGAGUCUGGCCUCGUUAAGGAGAGGUAGGUGACGAUGCUGAUGGAUGUCAUGCUCUGGGCAAGGACUGGGCCCUGGGCCUGCUCUUUGCAGCUUCCCUGUUCAGGGCCUCAUAUCCUUCUUUCACUCUUUUAUCACACCAUCCGCCGUCCCAGGAAGAACUCGCACACUCUGCCUGCUGCCCCAGCCUAUUCUGUUCUCAUCUCUGCGGGGGCUUUCUCACACUGUGCUAUAAGGCAAUUCCAUCUAGGUGGCCGGCUGCUCAGCUGAGCUUCUGGAGGGAGCCUGGCCUGGGAAAGCUCUGGCCCAAAAGAGUUUGUGAGUAAAUGAGAGGAGAUGAAUUUCUGCAUCUUGGGGUCUACAGGUGCCCCUCUCUUCCCUGUGCUUGCCUGGGCAGGGGGUCACUGCCAGCUCAGGAGCUUCACUUGGGAGCAGGAUGGCAGGAGCCGUGCAGGGCCAGGGAGCAGUGACUGGGCUUCAGUUUACAAAACUCAGCUACCCUGUCACUUUGUACAGAAACUGCACAAUUUGAGAAAUGAAGAAAAUAAACCUGGACUUCAGAGGUGACCUCUGGCACUCAAAAGCAGUUUCUUAAAGCAGGGGUUGAAGGACAACUGAUUCGCCAUUCAAAGAAAGUAAUGGCAGGUGAUAACCACUCAAGUGUGACAGUUAACCCAACUCCAGAGCCUUCUGGAGCGUCACUGUCUCUCUGGCUGUGCCUCCCCCUGAGUGCAUGUGUGCUAACUGCACGUCUUUCACAAAGAAAGCGACAACACACACGUGAGCUGCAUUCUGUAGCGGGUCUGCCACCCCAGAAAGAAGCCCUGGUGGGAACAUUCCAGCCAGGUUCUGCCUGUGUCUGGGCCUCACUCGCAUCGUGUCUUUGUUCUUCCAACCUGAUCGCAUGCCUUCUAGGAGGACAGUGCUGUGCUGGAAGGGAGGAAAUUUAAUUUUUAAAGUGAACUUGGGCAACUUUAUAGAUUAAAAAAACAGUAAAAAAAGGAAUGAUUGUUCAUAUUCACCGAGCCCUGCUUUGUUACAUACUGUAGUUGUAACCUGUGUGCAACAGGUGGAAUGUUUGUAUCUCCCCCCAAAUUCAUAUGUUAAUACUUAACUCCCAAUAUGAUGGU